rnacentral:misc_RNA from 1 species
CAAAAACAAUCAAUCUUGAAGAAAACAAUGUAAUACAAAAUGGCUUAGUAUAAGCAAAAGAUCAUAAAGUUAACAACUCUGUAGCCCCCUUCAAGAUAGUGUUGCCAUCAAGAAAACACCACAAACCAAUCCAAGAAUCCCACCACUGAUCCUUUUAGCAUCAUUUGGCUUAGUGUUACUUGCUGGUGAUGGCUCAUCAGCUGUUGUUUUAUCAUUACUAGUACCAUUCUUGGGUUUAGUAGGUGCAGGGGCAUCAUCAUCACUAGAUGGAUCAGUAAACUGAGAAGGUACUAAAACUUUGUCUAAUUGAAAAACAGCCAAUGGGGGGUCUUUUCUAAUAGCAUUAUAAAUGUUUGUAACAACAGAACCAGAUGAG